GACGAACGCUGGCGGCGUGCUUAACACAUGCAAGUCGAACGGAAAGGCCCUGCUUUUGUGGGGUGCUCGAGUGGCGAACGGGUGAGUAACACGUGAGUAACCUGCCCUUGACUUUGGGAUAACUUCAGGAAACUGGGGCUAAUACCGGAUAGGAGCUCCUGCUGCAUGGUGGGGGUUGGAAAGUUUCGGCGGUUGGGGAUGGACUCGCGGCUUAUCAGCUUGUUGGUGGGGUAGUGGCUUACCAAGGCUUUGACGGGUAGCCGGCCUGAGAGGGUGACCGGCCACAUUGGGACUGAGAUACGGCCCAGACUCCUACGGGAGGCAGCAGUGGGGAAUAUUGCACAAUGGGCGGAAGCCUGAUGCAGCAACGCCGCGUGCGGGAUGACGGCCUUCGGGUUGUAAACCGCUUCCGCCUGUGACGAAGCGUGAGUGACGGUAAUGGGUAAAGAAGCACCGGCUAACUACGU
rnacentral:rRNA from 1 species